rnacentral:rRNA from 1 species
CAGUCGCCGCGGGAAAACAGAGGGUGCAAGCGUUAAUCGGAAUUACUGGGCGUAAAGCGCGCGUAGGUGGUUUGUUAAGUUGGAUGUGAAAUCCCCGGGCUCAACCUGGGAACUGCAUCCAAAACUGGCAAGCUAGAGUAUGGUAGAGGGUGGUGGAAUUUCCUGUGUAGCGGUGAAAUGCGUAGAUAUAGGAAGGAACACCAGUGGCGAAGGCGACCACCUGGACUGAUACUGACACUGAGGUGCGAAAGCGUGGGGAGCAAACAGGAUUAGAUACCCGAGUAGUCCCUGUCUCUUAUAC